AGAUCAUGAUAAGAACCCUUGCGCAAUAUAAAUCCUUGAAUCUCUCCCAUGCCUCAUAUAAUGAUUCACCCUCAAAUUGGGUGAAGGUAGUGAUAUCAUUGCUUAACUU